UACAGAGGGGGCAAGCGUUAUUCGGAAUUAUUGGGCGUAAAGGGCGCGUAGGCGGCCUGGCAAGUGGAAGGUGAAAUCCCUCGGCUUAACCGAGGAACUGCCCUCCAAACUGCCUGGCUUGAGUCCGGGAGGGGUGAGUGGAAUUCCCAGUGUAGCGGUGAAAUGCGUAGAUAUUGGGAGGAACACCAGUGGCGAAGGCGGCUCACUGGACCGGAACUGACGCUGAUGCGCGAAGGCCAGGGGAGCAAACGGG
rnacentral:rRNA from 1 species